rnacentral:lncRNA from 1 species
UUCAUCUCCUUUCUCUUAAUUUUUUUUUCCUUUUUUUUUGUCCACAUACAUAUAUCACGGAAAGACAUGAUUAUGANGGUCGUGGGCGCGGCGGGCGUCGGAGUACCUGGCGAGGCGGGAGAGGAGGGCAUUGAAGGAGACGGUGGUGCGGCGGGGCAUUUCGUCGAACAGUUGGAGGGCGUGGGGGAGGAGGCCGGAGGAGGAAGAGGCGGCGGCGUGCUUCGUUAAUGGUGUAAUUACACCAUUACACGUAAUGGUUGCUGAUCGAACUAAACGUGAAAUAUAUAAGAAAAACAUAAAUGACAGGAAAGCUAGACUUGACGGAAAUCAGUAACCUACCGAAGCCCCAGGGUCGCCAUUAAUUACACCUUCUUUCUUUCCUGAUUGAUCGGCAGAGCGUGAACCCUUGCUGUCCCCCUUCAAGUUUGGACAAUAGAGAAUAAAAAGGUUAAAAUUUGCAGGGACUACCUCACCUAUAGACCAUUUUGUGAUACACCUCUCAACAUUUUUUUUUU